CCUACGGGAGGCAGCAGUGGGGAAUAUUGCACAAUGGGGGAAACCCUGAUGCAGCGACGCCGCGUGAGUGAAGAAGUAUUUCGGUAUGUAAAGCUCUAUCAGCAGGGAAGAAAAUGACGGUACCUGAGUAAGAAGCCCCGGCUAACUACGUGCCAGCAGCCGCGGUAAUACGGAGGGGGCAAGCGUUAUCCGGAUUUACUGGGUGUAAAGGGAGCGUAGACGGCAGCACAAGUCUGGAGUGAAAUGCCGGGGCUUAACCCCGGAACUGCAUUGGAAACUGUGCAGCUAGAGUGCAGUAGAGGUAAGUGGAAUUCCUGGUGUAGCGGUGAAAUGCGUAGAUAUUAGGAGGAACACCAGUGGCGAAGGCGGCUUACUGGACUGUAACUGACGUUGAGGCUCGAAAGCGUGGGGAGCAAACAGGAUUAGAUACCCCGGUAGUC
rnacentral:rRNA from 1 species